ACACAACAUUCACCAAAUCCUGCAAAACAGCCUCAAGGGACCAUUCCUAGUACUUAAGGAGAUUUCUGUUUAUUUCCUCUUCUUUCUUUGUCUGGCAAAGCCACCUUCAUUGAGUGGGGAUAGCUUUCCUGGCUUUUGUGGCAUUUCUAAGCUGUAGUGAGCCUUAGAUGAAAGGGGUUAAAAAAAGAAGGAAACAACAACAAUAAAAUUCUUAACUUUCCCUGAACUAAUCAGCUGCAUAAUAUUUGAAAUACCGGUGUUCUGAGAGAUAAAAUAAUGUUGGGUAAAUAUUUCACAUGUACAAAUAAUUUCAUUUCAUAACUGUGUUUUAGAAAUGCUUUGCUCUUAGUCAAACAGAUUCACUAUCUGCUUUUCUAAGUUAGGUUUCAAUCUAUACAUCAAAUGGGCGAUGCAGUAGGACAUUUUGGGAAGGGACUCAAGAAACUGUGAAGAAUGGCUGCCUGUCUACACCCAGAGAACUGAGGACAGGCCUCUUUUAGCUCCGAAUAAGAAGCCACGCACUAAGGAGGAAUUCACGAUCUUAACUUGGAAAUACAAGUGUGGAGCUGAUUGCAGAAGAGCUUGCUCUGGGAAUUGGGCAUUUCUACAAUGCAUAUGAUGUGCUGGAGACACUCUGCUAGGCACAGUUUCCCAGUAAGUUCCCAGCACAAUCAUUCCCUCUCUGCUGGAUAUUCCGGUAAGUGGUUCAGAGACAUCAAAAUCUACCUACAUGAAAAUGAAAUCAAGGAGUUCACCAUGGCCUUCUCUCCAGCAGUGGUGUGGAUGCAGGGAACCUGGAAUUAUGUUCCCUGACUCCUCCAUGGAUUUUUGUACCUGAACAUGCUCAUGAAAGCUGCAGACCAGCAGUCUUCAGACAUCAUUUCAUCCCUCUUUGUGGCAUCUCAGAGUAACGUGGCAGAAUUUCAACAAUCUUAAGAAGAAUACUCAUGAGUCUUUUACUAUCUCUGCUAAUGCAAAGUAACUGGUUAAUACAAACUAGAAGCCUGACUUACAAUAUAGUUUCAAAGAAACAAAGUAAAACUCCACACUACUCUUUCCCUAUUCUUGGUAGAACUGUUCCAUAUUUGCACUUGAACAUAGUAAGACGAACACUUAAAUUAGCACAAGCUCCUAUGCUCAAGCUGGAAAGGCUUCAAAUCAAUAUGGUUUUGUUUGUUUGUUUGUUUGUUUUUCUCUUGCUUGGCCUUUAAGGAGAAAGGGAGAGGGACACUGAGCUCAGUUGAAUUGGCUAUGGACUGAAUUAAGUAAUCUUCACCCAAAAAUAUUUCCUUCCAAUUCAAUAUGCUCCCCCUCUUCCAAACCUAUACAGACAGACCAAGAGUUUCUAUGUCGAUAGAGAAACUUCCAAAUGCAACACUAAUCAGGUUGUUUCUUGUUUUGAAUUCUUUAGUGGACUUCAGAGACCAUACUUCAUGGUUUCAAGAUGGCUUACCUCACCUGUACCUCUCUCCCUCCCCUCCCAGAGCCCUACUUCUCUUCCUUUCAUUCCCAACUAAAGCUGACACUCUGGGAAAGAGGGCUUCCCACACUGCUCCUUUAGCAUCUUGGACAUAAUUCAUAUUUUGUCAUUAUAAAUGUGGCUCAAUAAAAUCUAUCCCUCACUAACUGAGCUCUGUGAGACAGAUGCUGGGUUAUUUAUCUGCACAUCCCAAGUGUCUAACAGUGACUGGCUCAUAGCCAGUUCUCAGAUGCUGGCAGGAUGCUCAUUUCCAAACUACUUAGACACUCUUUCUUUUCCUCUUUCCUUCCCUUCUUGAACAAUUCAAUUCUAAAGCCAUUAGAUAGGCUCAAGCAAGGUAAAUUUUACAUUGGCAAGCUUAGGGAAUUACAAAUAUGGAUAGAAAAACUAAAACAAAAUCUACGAUGGUGCAACAGAAUUGGAGGUGUUGGUAUAAACUCCUGGAUAUAAAUAUAAGUAGAGAGUAGGUAAAUAUAAAUAUGCACACACACAUACAUACACAGUCCCUAAUUCUGUUCACUCAGACAGCCUGGGAACAGUAACACAUCAAAAGUAUGAGCACAUCUAGACUGAGGUCUUGGUUUCUAAUUACCAUUCUCUGCUAAAGAGAACCAAGGAUCUUUUGAAAAUGGCUGAUUCUAGGACUGGGUCACAGAAAAUACAAGGUAAGCAUGGAAUAUGUUGGACUAGGAAGUAAGGAAGUGCUAAAGAAUGAUGGAGACAUGUCAAAAGUCAGCUUAAAUGGUUUCCCACUGACCAAAUCUGGGACACUGUGAGCAUCAAACAAAUAUAGAAUGGAUUGUAACCGUUUAUUCAAAUAGGAUACCAUAAGUGCAUACUUAGAUUACUUAUGAUUCCAUAAAUACCUGAAUAAAAUGGAAAGUUUGAUGAGUUAGGAUAUUUAUAAAGCUUCAAAGCACUUUCUCCCAAAAUAUGUAUUAAUCACAAAGGGAAAAAGAGUGAAUUUAUAGUGGUGAAGCCUGGCAGAGGCUUAAUCAAGUGAAUUAAGUUCAGUUAACAGGACACAUCAAAAUCACUCCACCUAGAGGAUGCAAUGUGAUACUUCUGUGAUACUCUUGCUACAGAAACACAACCUGAAUCUAAUCAGACAAAUCCAAACUGACAAAGGGACAUUCUACAAAAUGGUUGGCCUGUCGUCUUCACAAGUGUCCCGAUCAUGAAAGUCAGAAGACACCGAGGAAUUGUUACAGAUUGAAGAAGCCUAAGGAGAUGUGACAGGAAAUGCAAUACAUUAUCCUGAACAGGAGCUUUUUACUACAAACGACAACCAGUGAUUGAAUGCGGUUUGGGCAGUAGAUGUAGUAAAUUAUCAUUAAUUUCCUGAUUUUAAUGGUUGUAUUGGAGCAUCUCGUCGGUAUCUUAUUGUCAAAUGAUUUUUUUAAGUGUUCUUUGCACUGUAGUUGCAACUUUUUCCUCUAGGUUUUAGAUUACUUUCAUAUUUAAAAAGUAUUAAAAAACAAAGUAGACCAUGCCGUUAGUAUUUUAAAAUUCUAAGCCGAACGCAAGUUAGAGUCCUAAGAUUUUAGAGCUGUGAUGCAUACUGUCUCCGCCUUCAAGGAGCUAAUGGAAGAACUGCGUGCACACAAUUAAUUUUGCUAAAAGGAAAAUGGGAGAGAUUGAUCUCUGACUUUUCUGCAGGGGCAGCUUUCUAACUAAGCUUUCACAGCAGAGGCGCCCGCCCC